rnacentral:rRNA from 1 species
UACGGGGGGAGCAAGCGUUGUUCGGAUUUACUGGGCGUAAAGGGCGCGUAGGCGGCCACCGCAAGUCGGUUGUGAAAUCUCUGGGCUUAACCCAGAAAGGUCAACCGAUACUGCGGGGCUAGAGUGCAGAAGGGCAACUGGAAUUCUCGGUGUAGCGGUGAAAUGCGUAGAUAUCGAGAGGAACACCUGCGGCGAAGGCGGGUUGCUGGGCUGACACUGACGCUGAAGCGCGAAAGCUAGGGGAGCGAACGGG